rnacentral:rRNA from 2 species
UGGCUAAUCCUGGUCGGACAUCAGGAGGUUAGUGCAAUGGCAUAAGCCAGCUUGACUGCGAGCGUGACGGCGCGAGCAGGUGCGAAAGCAGGUCAUAGUGAUCCGGUGGUUCUGAAUGGAAGGGCCAUCGCUCAACGGAUAAAAGGUACUCCGGGGAUAACAGGCUGAUACCGCCCAAGAGUUCAUAUCGACGGCGGUGUUUGGCACCUCGAUGUCGGCUCAUCACAUCCUGGGGCUGAAGUAGGUCCCAAGGGUAUGGCUGUUCGCCAUUUAAAGUGGUACGCGAGCUGGGUUUAGAACGUCGUGAGACAGUUCGGUCCCUAUCUGCCGUGGGCGCUGGAGAACUGAGGGGGGCUGCUCCUAGUACGAGAGGACCGGAGUGGACGCAUCACUGGUGUUCGGGUUGUCAUGCCAAUGGCACUGCCCGGUAGCUAAAUGCGGAAGAGAUAAGUGCUGAAAGCAUCUAAGCACGAAACUUGCCCCGA